rnacentral:misc_RNA from 1 species
UCUCCGUUGGUGAACCAGCGGAGGGAUCAUUACUGGAAUCGCAAGAUCCCACAACCCUGUGAACCUACCGAAACGUUGCCUCGGCGGGUGCCCGGCCUCCGCGCCGGGCGCUGCGCCCGCCGGCGGCUCCCUACUCUGUCUCUGCAGCGUGGCAUCUCAGAGUCCCAGAAAACAAGUCAAAACUUUCAACAACGGAUCUCUUGGCUCUA